rnacentral:lncRNA from 1 species
AUGCUUACCCCUGUCCUCAUUAGCUGUGGAAGCCCAGUCCUCAGAGGCACGACUAUCUCCCUGAGUGAACAAAUGUCAGGGGACAGGGCCGCACGGGGACUGAACAGGCCAAACGUGGGCUGCACUGACAGAUGUUACAAGGAGAGGGGGAAGAAAUCCCCAAAGCAAAGCCAGCUGCUGGCAUUUGUGUGCAGUGGCUGGGAGAUGUCAUGGACAACAGGGAGCUACUCAGCUGGGGGGCCAACCCCACAGCCCACACCCAGGGUCCCCUCCAGCGCCUGUUCCAGGGACAUGCUGGGAGCUGCUGUCCUCCCUCCUCACAAAGGUGCCCCUCUGCGGGCCAGCGAUGCUCCUGAAGUAAAGUCACACUGGCUCCUGGGCUCCACCCAGGAGGGAGCCACCCCGCAUCCUCAGGGCUCAGUACCAGGCCCCUGUGAGCCACCUUUGCCCCAGGGCUGUAGUGCCACAUUAAUAGCCAGGAGUCGCUUGCGGCUGUCUGUGGGGCAGGUCCCCAGGCCCCUGAGGGACCAGUCAGAAGGCCAAGGCCACAGGAACCUCGAAGCUGGAGGAGUGGACCUUGCAAGGUGCUCAUCUCUCCUCUUGCUCAGGGCAGCCACAGGCGCCUGGUGGGCAGAAGGGCUGGGCAGCCAGGCCCAGAAGUGCUGGGCCAGCCCUGCUGAAACUAAACGCUCGCCCACACGCUCUUUGAUCCGCCCCGCUGGGCAGGGCUGCCUUCUCAGGGAGGUUUUCCCAGAGAUUUUCCGAGGAGACUGUGUCUGGGGAGGCUCAUCCUCCCCCUGGCCUGAGCAUCCUGUGUCCUUGGCAAAGUCCAGGCUCCCAGUCACUGCCUUCCUGGAGAGGAUGGUGCAGGCUGCCCUGGAGGAGGUUGUCACUGGUCUGAGAGGAGGAGCCCAGCCCACCUCAGCCAUGCUACCCCAUCCUCCUCGAGGGGAGCUGGGCUCCCAAGGGAAGGGGCCCCUUAGCCCUGCAGCUCUGCAGCAGCAGGCAUGA